UGGGCGCUCUCUCUCUCUCUAAAAAGAAAAACCAAGGAGCUUACCGGUGAUGGAAACAUGAACUGGCAUAGAAGAUAGAGAAAGGGCGUGCUCAGUGCUGCUGGUUAGGAGAGUGUCUGUCGAAGAAAAAAGAAUACGACGACAGAAGCUCCGAAUCUGUUUCCGGCGAGUAGCAAAGAUGAAGAGCAAUAAAUUAGAGGUGGCGGUGGCUGUUGAUGCAGCUGCAAGGAGAAAAAAUAGUGGCACGGUGAGUGGUGUUACUACCGUCAGAGAAGAAGGAGCAGUUGGCAACAAGUUGACGACUUCAGUCAAAAGAAUGGAGAGCUCCGAGAUCCUGUCGUCGGUGGUGUGACAGAGGGUUUGCGAUGCAAGCAGAGGAAACGCCAGAACUCCGGUGCAAUGUUUUGGAACAACUUCCCUGGCAAAGCUCAAGGUGUGAAACUUGCUGGCAAGGUGCUCCAGCUGAAGUUGCGCCUGCCAAAACGGUAUGAGUGAUGCGUCUGCCUUAAUUGCUAUCUUUUUUACCUUUCUUUUAUUUAUAUUAUAUCAUUUUUAUCUCUUCUUUAGUUUGUUCAGUUUAAUUUUUGGAUGGCAAACAUUAAUAUUUAACUAAGUUUAUAUGUAUUUAACUAAUUUUGUUCUU